rnacentral:misc_RNA from 1 species
GGAAGGAUCAUUAACACGUUUCCAACGUUUUACUCACCCACUGUGCAUUUUGUUUUCAACAUUGCCCUGAGAUGCGAGCCUCGAACUCCUUUGUGAGCGAGAGUGUCUCGAGUCUGCAGGAUCCCUCUUUAUUAUAGAUCUUUUUCGAAAGAUUUAUAAUAAUUUUUACCUUCACCUUUUUCACCCUUCUCUAAUUUUUGCUAGUUGACUGUUUUCUUCUUGUUCAGUCGUGUGCUUCGGCUCCCUCUGACAAGGACGUUUAAUUGAACGUAAACAAAUACAACUCUUAGCAAUGGAUAUCUUGGUUCUCGCAACGAUGAAGAACGCGGCAAAACGCGAUAUGUAAUGCGAAUUGCAGGACUCAGUGAAUCAUCAAAUCUUUGAACGCAAAUGGCGCUCUUGGGUAGACCUAGGAGCACGCCUCUCUCAGUAUCGGUUCAAACCUCUCUCAGCAGCGUCUUAAAAACACGUGUUGGCUGGUGAAUGAGAGUCCGAGCAGGUCGAGUGUGACACUUUAUGUGUCAACACUUGCAGCAGCGGUCUCUUGAAAGUCAUGGAAUAUUGUGUUUUCCAGUGUGUCAUUGUUUCUCUCUUUGAUAGCGCUAUCGACCGUCUCGAUCGGUGAGUGUCUGUUGACGAGUGACGUUAGGACUGGCCCUUUGUGGUCUCACCCCACGUCAUAUACUCUCAACGACUCACGCAACGAUUAGGACGUCGAGCUAACAAUACACGGGAGUUGCAAGGGGAAAUUAAUUUCCUUCUAUACACACGUCACAAUGUGGUCAGUCGUAGCGAGUAAAGCACCAACGCUACAAUCACAGUGCAAAGAGUCAUAUCUUUCACUGUUUCUUUGAUCUGAGAUGAAGCGAGACAACCCCCUGAAUUUAAGCAUAUUAAUAAGGGGAGGAAAAGAAACUAACAAGGAUUCCCUUAGUAACGGCGAGUGAAGCGGGAGGAGCUCAAUUUGAAAAUCGAUGACCUUAGCGGGUCCUCGAGUUGUAGCCUAGAGACGUACUAUCAGCUGCUGCCCUGGGUAGAAGUUCUUUGGAAUGAGGCAUCACAGAGGGUGAGAAUCCCGUCUAUGACCCAAAGUGCUCAGCGUACGAUGUAUGUUCAACGAGUCGAGUUGUUUGGGAUUGCAGCUCUAAAUGGGUGGUAAGUUUCAUCUAAAGCUCAAUAUUGGCGAGAGACCGAUAGCGAACAAGUACCGUGAGGGAAAGAUGAAAAGAACUUUGAAAAGAGAGUUAAAAGUACUUGAAAUUGCUAAGAGGGAAGCGCUGAUAAGCAGUCGUUUUCUGUCGUUCAUCGUCGUCGCCCUGCUGGUGUGUGCGCGUCGUUGGAAACUCGACGUGUGUACACGAAACGGAGGUCGGCGGUUUAGGACGGCGGAUCAGUCAAGAUACAUUCGAGUGAGAGGAAGAAGGGGAGAGGACAGGUAGGAGAUCCGUCUCUGUUAUAGUCCUCUUCCUCUACCUCGCCUUGGAUGGAGGAAGUGAAGAGUGCGCCGCUUGCGGCUUGAUCCGGCGUGUCCUCCUCAUGUAUGUCUGCUCUGAGUGCAAUGCUCUCUCUGUGGUCUGCGUGAGGCCUGCGCGUCGGCGUCUUAUGUGCUCUCUCGAUCUUGUACCAAAUGCUUAUCAUCGACCCGUCUUGAAACACGGACCAAGGAGUCUAACAUCUAUGCGAGUAUUUGAGUGCAAAACUCCAAUGCGCAAUGAAAGUAAAGGCAGUCUCGUGCUGCUGAGGUAGGCAGCCAGCAAUGGCGGCACUAUCGACCGAUCAUCACUUGUGAAAGAUUUGAGUCAGAGCAUAUCUGUUGGGACCCGAAAGAUGGUGAUCUAUGCUUGAACAGGGUGAAGCCAGGGGAAACUCUGGUGGAGGCUCGUAGCGAUACUGACGUGCAAAUCGUUCGUCUGAUUUGGGUAUAGGGGCGAAAGACUAAUCGAACCAUCUAGUAGCUGGUUCCCUC